GUGCCAGCCGCCGCGGUAAUACGAAGGGGGCUAGCGUUGUUCGGAAUUACUGGGCGUAAAGCGCGCGCAGGCGGCCAUUCAAGUCGGGGGUGAAAUCCCAGAGCUCAACUCUGGAAUUGCCUUCGAGACUGAGUGGCUUCGAGUACGGGAGAGGUGAGUGGAAUUCCCAGUGUAGAGGUGAAAUUCGUAGAUAUUGGGAAGAACACCGGUGGCGAAGGCGGCUCACUGGCCCGUUACUGACGCUCAGGCGCGACAGCGUGGGGAUCAAACAGGAUUAGAUACCCUGGUAGUCCACGCCGUAAACGAUGGACGCUAGCCGUUGGCAAGCUUGCUUGUCAGUGGCGCAGCUAACGCAUUAAGCGUCCCGCCUGGGGAGUACGGCCGCAAGGUUGAA
rnacentral:rRNA from 1 species